GUUGACCUCGGAUCAGGUAGGGAUACCCGCUGAACUUAAGCAUAUCAAUAAGCGGAGGAAAAGAAACCAACAGGGAUUGCCCUAGUAACGGCGAGUGAAGCGGCAACAGCUCAAAUUUGAAAGCUGGCCUUCGGGUCCGCAUUGUAAUUUGUAGAGGAUGCUUUGGGUGAAACGCCAGUCUAAGUUCCUUGGAACAGGACGUCAUAGAGGGUGAGAAUCCCGUAUGUGACUGGAAAUGUUAACCUAUGUAAAGCUCCUUCGACGAGUCGAGUUGUUUGGGAAUGCAGCUCUAAAUGGGAGGUAAAUUUCUUCUAAAGCUAAAUAUUGGCGAGAGACCGAUAGCGCACAAGUAGAGUGAUCGAAAGAUGAAAAGCACUUUGGAAAGAGAGUUAAAAAGCACGUGAAAUUGUUGAAAGGGAAGCGCUUGCAAUCAGACUUGUUUAAACUGUUCGGCCGGUCUUCUGACCGGUUUACUCAGUUUGGACAGGCCAGCAUCAGUUUCGGCGGCCGGAUAAAGGCUCUGGGAAUGUGGCCUUCACUUCGGUGAAGGUGUUAUAGCCCAGGGUGUAAUACGGCCAGCCGGGAC
rnacentral:rRNA from 1 species